rnacentral:rRNA from 1 species
UGUCGCCUACGGGAGGCAGCGGUAGGGAAUCUUCCACAAUGGACGAAAGUCUGAUGGAGCAACGCCGCGUGAGUGAAGAAGGGUUUCGGCUCGUAAAGCUCUGUUGGUAGGGAAGAAAGAUAGAGGUAGUAACUGGCCUUUAUUUGACGGUGAUUACUUAGAAAGUCACGGCUAACUACGUGCCAGCAGCCGCGGUAAUACGUAGGUGGCAAGCGUUGUCCGGAUUUAUUGGGCGUAAAG